AGAGCUUGCUCUUUUGCUGACGAGUGGCGCACGGGUGCGUAACGCGUAUACAAUCUGCCUUCAAGCGGGGGAUAGCCCAUGGAAACGUGGAUUAAUACCCCAUGGUAUUAUGAUUUCACCUGGAAUUAUAAUUAAACAUUUAUGGCUUGAAGAUGAGUAUGCGUCCUAUUAGCUAGAUGGAGUGGUAACGGCACCCCAUGGCGACGAUAGGUAGGGGUCCUGAGAGGGAGAUCCCCCACACUGGUACUGAGACACGGACCAGACUCCUACGGGAGGCAGCAGUGAGGAAUAUUGGACAAUGGAGGCAACUCUGAUCCAGCCAUGCCGCGUGCAGGAAGACUGCCCUAUGGGUUGUAAACUGCUUUUAUACAGGAAGAAACCUUCUCACGUGUGGGGAGCUGACGGUACUGUAUGAAUAAGGAUCGGCUAACUCCGUGCCAGCAGCCGCGGUAAUACGGAGGAUCCAAGCGUUAUCCGGAAUCAUUGGGUUUAAAGGGUCCGUAGGCGGGUUUAUAAGUCAGUGGUGAAAGUCUGUCGCUUAACGAUAGAAUUGCCAUUGAUACUGUAGAUCUUGAAUUAUUAUGAAGUGGUUGGAAUGAGUAGUGUAGCCGGUGAAAUGCAUAGAUAUUACUCAGAACACCUAUUGCGAAGGCAGAUCACUAAUAAUAUAUUGACGCUGAUGGACGAAAGCGUAGGUAGCGAACAGGAUUAGAUACCCUGGUAGUCUACGCUGUAAACGAUGGUCACUAGCUGUCCGGCCUAAUUGAGGGCUGGGUGGCCAAGCGAAAGUGAUAAGUGACCCACCUGGGGAGUACGUUCGCAAGAAUGAAACUCAAAGGAAUUGACGGGGGCCCGCACAAGCGGUGGAGCAUGUGGUUUAAUUCGAUGAUACGCGAGGAACCUUACCAGGGCUUAAAUGCAGUCUGACAGGAGUGGAA
rnacentral:rRNA from 1 species